rnacentral:rRNA from 1 species
UAAGGAAUAUUGGUCAAUGGACGAAAGUCUGAACCAGCCAUGCCGCGUGGAGGAUGAAGGUCCUCUGGAUUGUAAACUUCUUUUCUCUGUAAAGAAAUGCACGGUUUCUACUGUGUUUGACGGUAACAGAGGAAUAAGCACCGGCUAACUCCGUGCCAGCAGCCGCGGUAAUACGGAGGGUGCAAGCGUUAUCCGGAUUCACUGGGUUUAAAGGGAGCGUAGGUGGGCAGAUAAGUCAGCGGUGAAAUACCUGAGCUUAACUCAGGAACUGCCAUUGAUACUGUCUGUCUUGAAUAUCGUAGAGGUUAGCGGAAUAUGUCAUGUAGCGGUGAAAUGCUUAGAUAUGACAUAGAACACCGAUUGCGAAGGCAGCUAGCUAUGCGAAUAUUGACACUGAGGC